rnacentral:rRNA from 1 species
GUGCAUUGUAAGGGCCCUUUCGAAAGACUGGGCUUCAUUUUCUUCACAUGUCUUCAAUUUGCAAGUCUAACAUUCAGAGUAUAAUCAAAAACUCGAAUACAACUUUCAACAACGGAUCUCUUGGCUCUCGCAUCGAUGAAGAACGCAGCGAAAUGCGAUACGUAAUGUGAAUUGCAGAAUUCAGUGAAUCAUCGAAUCUUUGAACGCACAUUGCGCCUUCUGGUAUUCCGGAAGGCAUGCUUGUUUGAGUAUCAGUAACAACCUCAGCCAAGCUCUCUCUCGCUUCUUUGGGGCGCAGAAAGCAAAAGCUGGAUUUGAGCAAAGUCCCUUGGGAUUCAAUUCGGACGACCUUCGGGGAGGCCCAAUUGAAGCUGUGGGGGAUGCUUGAAAUACAGGUUCGGACUGACCAAAUGUCCUGGGCUACAAGCAUUUCAUACUUGGUCCCGUUAAACGGAUCAUUUCCAUUGCUGCAGCCAACAUACAAACAGGAUCAAACGUGUCCAGUAUCCGACUGAUGCAGGAAGUUGGAACCAACAGAGCAAUCUGGGUGGU